rnacentral:rRNA from 1 species
GUCUGUGGUGAUGCUACCCUGAACGCGCCCAGUCUCAUUUGAUCUCGGAAGCUAAGCAGGGUCAGGCCUGGUUAGUCCUUGGAUGGGAGACAUCUCUGGCUCAGCACAUC